AGAACGAACGCUGGCGGCAGGCUUAACACAUGCAAGUCGAACGCUCGUAGCAAUACGGGAGUGGCAGACGGGUGAGUAACGCGUGGGAACAUACCCUCCGGUUCGGAAUAGCUCAGGGAAACUUGGAUUAAUACCGGAUACGGCCGAGAGGCGAAAGAUUUAUCGCCGGAGGAUUGGCCCGCGUUCGAUUAGCUAGUUGGUGAGGUAAUGGCUCACCAAGGCGAUGAUCGAUAGCUGGUCUGAGAGGAUGAUCAGCCACAUUGGGACUGAGACACGGCCCAAACUCCUACGGGAGGCAGCAGUGGGGAAUAUUGGACAAUGGGCGCAAGCCUGAUCCAGCCAUGCCGCGUGAGUGAUGAAGGCCCUAGGGUUGUAAAGCUCUUUGUGCGGGAAGAUAAGUGACGGUACCGCAAGAAUAAGCCCCGGCUAACUUCGUGCCAGCAGCCGC
rnacentral:rRNA from 1 species